AGUGAACGCUGGCGGUAGGCCUAACACAUGCAAGUCGAACGGCAGCACAGUAAGAGCUUGCUCUUACGGGUGCCGAGUGGCGGACGGGUGAGGAAUACAUCGGAAUCUACUUUUUCGUGGGGGAUAACGUAGGGAAACUUACGCUAAUACCGCAUACGACCUACGGGUAAAACCAGGGGAUCUUCGGACCUUGCGCGAUUGAAUGAGCCGGUGUAGGAUUAGCUAGUAGGCGGGGUAAAGGCCCACUAAGGCGACGAUCCGUAGCUGGUCUGAGAGGAUGAUCAGCCACACUGGAACUGAGACACGGUCCAGACUCCUACGGGAGGCAGCAGUGGGGAAUAUUGGACAAUGGGCGCAAGCCUGAUCCAGCCAUACCGCGUGGGUGAAGAAGGCCUUCGGGUUGUAAAGCCCUUUUGUUGGGAAAGAAAAGCAGCAGGUUAAUACCCCGCUGUUCUGACGGUACCCAAAGAAUAAGCACCGGCUAACUUCGUG
rnacentral:rRNA from 1 species